rnacentral:rRNA from 1 species
CAACUUUCAGCAGUGGAUGUCUACGCUCACACAUCAAUGAAGAACGCUGCUAACUGCGAUACGUAUUGCGAAUUGCAGAAUUCAGUGAGUCAUCGAAAUUUUGAACGCAUAUUGCACUUCCGGGUUAUGCCUGGAAGUAUGUCUGUAUCAGUGUCCGUA